rnacentral:rRNA from 1 species
GUCGAACGGAAGUCGUUGUAAUGAUAUAGACAUGGACUGAGAACUUGUUCAAAGAAAGUGAAAGUUGACUUACAACAAUGGCUUUAGUGGCGGACUGGUGAGUAACACGUAAGCAACCUGCCUAUCAGAGGGGAACAACAGUUAGAAAUGACUGCUAAUACCGCAUAUGCCUUAGCAACACAUGUUGCAAAAGGGAAAGGAGCAAUCCGCUGAUAGAUGGGCUUGCGUCUGAUUAGAUAGUUGGUGGGGUAACGGCCUACCAAGUCGACGAUCAGUAGCCGGACUGAGAGGUUGAACGGCCACAUUGGGACUGAGAUACGGCCCAGACUCCUACGGGAGGCAGCAGUCGGGAAUAUUGCGCAAUGGAGGAAACUCUGACGCAGUGACGCCGCGUGCAGGAAGAAGGUUUUCGGAUUGUAAACUGCUUUAGACAGGGAAGAACAAAGACAGUACCUGUAGAAUAAGCUCCGGCUAACUACGUGCCAGCAGCCGCGGUAAUACGUAGGGAGCAAGCGUUAUCCGGAUUUAUUGGGUGUAAAGGGUGCGUAGACGGUAAUGCAAGUUAGUUGUGAAAUCCCUCGGCUUAACUGAGGAACUGCAACUAAAACUACAUUUCUUGAGUAUUGGAGGGGAAAGUGGAAUUCCUAGUGUAGCGGUGAAAUGCGUAGAUAUUAGGAGGAACACCGGUGGCGAAGGCGACUUUCUGGACAAUUACUGACGUUGAGGCACGAAAGUGUGGGGAGCAAACAGGAUUAGAUACCCUGGUAGUCCACACCGUAAACGAUGGAUACUAGGUGUAGGAUGUGAUAAACAUUCUGUGCCGUCGCAAACGCA